rnacentral:rRNA from 1 species
GACGUAGGGCGCGAGCGUUGUCCGGAUUUAUUGGGCGUAAAGAGCUCGUAGGCGGUGUGUCACGUCGUUCGUGAAAACCUGCAGCUUAACUGUGGGCGUGCGGUCGAUACGGGCAUCACUGGAGUUCGGCAGGGGAGACUGGAAUUCCUGGUGUAGCGGUGAAAUGCGCAGAUAUCAGGAGGAACACCUGCGGCGAAGGCGGGUUGCUGGGCCGACACUGACGCUGAGGCGCGAAAGCCAGGGGAGCGAACGGG